rnacentral:rRNA from 1 species
GACGAACGCUGGCGGCGUGCUUAACACAUGCAAGUCGAGCGGUAAGGCCCUUUCGGGGGUACACGAGCGGCGAACGGGUGAGUAACACGUGGGUGACCUGCCCUCAGCUCUGGGAUAAGCCUGGGAAACCGGGUCUAAUACUGGAUAUGACUCCAUGACGCAUGUUGGUGGGGUGGAAAGCCUUGUGCGGCUGAGGAUGGGCCCGCGGCCUAUCAGCUUGUUGGUGGGGUGAGGCCUACCAAGGCGACGACGGGUAGCCGGCCUGAGAGGGCGACCGGCCACACUGGGACUGAGACACGGCCCAGACUCCUACGGGAGGCAGCAGUGGGGAAUCUUGCGCAAUGGGCGAAAGCCUGACGCAGCGACGCCGCGUGAGGGA